rnacentral:rRNA from 1 species
UUGGAGGGCAAGUCUGGUGCCAGCAGCCGCGGUAAUUCCAGCUCCAAUAGCGUAUAUUAAAGUUGUUGCAGUUAAAAAGCUCGUAGUUGAAUUUCGGGGUCAAUAAGUUGGUCGUGCCAAUGGUAUGCACUGGCUUUAUUGAUUCCUACCUCUUGACGAACUGUGAUGCCAUUAAUUUGGUGUCGCAAGGAAUCAGGACUGUUACCUUGAAAAAAUUAGAGUGUUUAAAGCAGGCUUACGCUUGAAUACAUUAGCAUGGAAUAAUGAAAUAGGACGUUUGAACCUAUUUUGUUGGUUUCUAGGAUCGACGUAAUGAUUAAUAGGGAUAGUUGGGGGCAUUAGUAUUCAAUUGUCAGAGGUGAAAUUCUUGGAUUUAUUGAAGACUAACUACUGCGAAAGCAUUUGCCAAGGAUGUUUUCAUUAAUCAAGAACGAAAGUUAGGGGAUCGAAGACGAUCAGACACCGUCGUAGUCUUAACCAUAAACUAUGCCGACUAGGGAUCGGAUGAUGUUAAUUUUUUAAUGACUCAUUCGGCGCCUUACGGGAAACCAAAGUGUUUGGGUUC